GGAUGAACGCCUAGCCGAUAAGGCCCUAACACAAAUGCAAGUCGAGAGGGCACUCACAAUGAAAGUAUGCAAUUCGGAUGGGUGGCGACCGGCGGCACGGGUGGAUAAACGGCGUAUGCAACUUCCCUACAACAGGGGGAUAACCCGUUGAAAGACGGACUAAUACCCCAUAACACAGGGGUCCCGCAUGGGAAUAUUUGUUAAAGAUUUAUCGGUUGUAGAUGGGCAUGCGUUCCAUUAGCUAGUUGGCGAGGUAAGGGCUCACCAAGGCAACGAUGGAUAGGGGAACUGAGAGGUUUAUCCCCCACACUGGUACUGAGACACGGACCAGACUCCUACGGGAGGCAGCAGUGAGGAAUAUUGGUCAAUGGACGCAAGUCUGAACCAGCCACGUCGCGUGAAGGAAGACGGCCCUACGGGUUGUAAACUUCUUUUGUAAGGGAAUAAAGUGAGUCACGUGUGACUUUUUGCAUGUACCUUACGAAUAAGGAUCGGCUAACUCCGUGCCAGCAGCCGCGGUAAUACGGAGGAUGCGAGCGUUAUCCGGAUUUAUUGGGUUUAAAGGGUGCGCAGGCGGGAUGUUAAGUCGGCGGUGAAAUUUUGCAGCUCAACUGUAAAAGUGCCUUCGAUACUGGCUUUCUUGAGUGUGGAUGAAGUAGGCGGAAUUUGUGGUGUAGCGGUGAAAUGCAUAGAUAUCACAAAGAACACCGAUUGCGCAGGCAGCUUACUAAACCAUAACUGACGCUCAUGCACGAAGGCGUGGGGAUCAAACA
rnacentral:rRNA from 1 species